rnacentral:lncRNA from 1 species
AGGACUCCCCAGCCGUACUCACCGAGACUGCCGGCGAAACCGUCCAUCUUGCGGGGAAAGCGCCGGGCUCCGGGCUUAGAGGGGCGGGCACUUCAUUCAGCGGACCGACAGAGUGGCCGACGCUGAGCCUGACCCGCUCGUUCUCUAGGUCGCCCGGCUCGGCUACCGGCUCCCGCCUCCGUCGUCCGUCCGUUCGCCCUGGGGUAGUAAGCCGCGGCCGCCCGAACCACUUCCCCGUCACGUUGAGAGCCG